rnacentral:lncRNA from 10 species
AGGAGCGCCACCUGGAGGUAGGAGGUGAAGUCUGCAGAGAGAAGCUGGAAAUGUACUGACGGAUCCCCAAGGAUUCAGUAAUGUGACCAAGUGGAGGAGCUGCAUUUACAGGCAUCAAGGGAACUGCAGAUGGAGUCGUGUUCUGUCACCCAGGCUGGAGUGUGAUCCUGGCUCACUGCAACCUCCACCUCCCUGGUUCAAACAAUUCUCCUGACUCAGCCUCCUGAGUAGUUGGGAUUACAGGCGUGAGCCACCACAUCUGUCUGUGUAAUCACUGUCUGAAAUCCACUGAUGGGGUGAGUAGAAAAGCUAAGAGAAGCCAGACAGAUGGCCUGGCUUCCAAGCCUGGAUCUCCCACCUUGGAGCUGGAACUUCCUUGGAGCUGGACAUUUCGACCAAUAGACUUUGAGUAAAGCAGAUGACCCACUGUCAUAGGGGUGGGCCUCAUCCAAUCAGUUGAAGACUUUAAGACUUUAAGAGAAAAGACUGAGGUCCCCCAAGGUGGAAGGAAUUCUGCCUCCAGACUCAAGCUGCAAUAUCAAGUCUCCCCUGGAUCCCCUGCCUGCCUGCCCUGCAGAUUUCAGACUUGCCAGCUCCCCACAAUC